GCCUCUUUGCUGCACAGACUACAGCGGUGAUGGCGGGCAGGCAGUUUGGCUGGAGCCGGGUGGCUCUUCUCCAGCUCUUUCUUGGUGUGAACCUGAUGGUGAUGCCACCUACCCAGGCCCGGCGUCUGCGUUUCGUUACCUUGCUGUACCGACAUGGAGACCGUUCGCCAGUGAAGACAUACCCCAAGGACCCCUAUCAGGAAGACGAAUGGCCCCAGGGAUUUGGUCAGCUAACCAAGGAGGGGAUGCUACAGCACUGGGAGCUGGGCCAGGCUCUGCGACAGCGCUACCAUGACUUCCUCAACACCUCUUACCACCGGCAAGAGGUUUAUGUGCGAAGCACAGACUUUGACCGGACUCUCAUGAGUGCUGAGGCCAACCUGGCUGGACUCUUCCCUCCCGAUGGGAUGCAGCGCUUUAACCCAAACAUCUCUUGGCAGCCUAUCCCCGUCCACACUGUGCCCAUUGCCGAGGACAGGCUGCUGAAGUUCCCAUUGGGCCCGUGUCCCCGUUUUGAACAGCUGCAGAACGAGACCCGGCGGACACCGGAGUAUCAGAAUGAGAGUAUUCAGAAUGCACAAUUUCUGGAUAUGGUGGCCAACGAGACAGGGCUUACGGACCUGACACUGGAGACCGUCUGGAAUGUCUACGACACACUCUUCUGUGAGCAGACACACGGGCUGGUCCUGCCGCCCUGGGCCUCGCCCCAAACCAUGCAGCGUCUGAGCCGGCUAAAGGACUUCAGCUUCCGCUUCCUCUUCGGGAUCUACGAGCAGGCAGAGAAGGCCCGGCUGCAGGGGGGAGUCCUGCUGGCUCAGAUACGGAAGAACCUGACCCUGAUGGCAACCACCUCCCAGCUCCCUAAGCUGCUGGUCUACUCUGCGCACGACACCACCCUGGUUGCUCUGCAAAUGGCGUUGGAUGUCUACAAUGGUGAACAAGCCCCCUACGCGUCCUGCCACAUAUUUGAACUGUACCAGGAAGAUACCGGGAAUUUCUCCGUGGAAAUGUACUUUCGGAAUGAGAGUAACAAGGCCCCCUGGGCACUGACCCUGCCUGGCUGCCCUCACCGCUGCCCGCUGCAGGACUUCCUUCGCCUCACGGAGCCUGUUGUGCCCAAGGACUGGCAGCAGGAGUGCCGGCUGGCGAGCAGUCCUGCAGACACAGAGGUGACCGUGGCCUUGGCUGUAUGUGGCUCCAUCCUCUUCCUCCUCGUAGUGCUGCUCCUCACCGUCCUCUUCCGGACGCAGGCCCAGCCUCCUGGCUACCGCCACGUUCCAGACGGGGAGGAUCACGCCUGACAACCACUCAGCCCCCUUCCCUCUGCCUCCUAGGGGAGGUGGGCUGGGCCUUGCUCCUGACUGUUGCUGCUCCCCAGCCCAUGGACAGGAGACCCUGGGUUGGGCCUCCCUCUGAUCACCCCAACCUAGAUGAACAAGUGGGGCUCAGCUUGGCCCGUGGCACCUGUCACUCAGCAUUCAUGUGCCUGAUGUUAACCAAGUACUGUGUUGGAUGCUGGCUUUCUCCAAACAGGAUUUGCCUCCUCCAUGCUCCCUUCUAAGGACCUGAAAUGUAGAUGAGUAUUCAAGUUUCACUCAGGACCUAGGAUAAAAAGACUGAAGGAGUUGCUGCUUGAUCUGCUGUGCCUCUGCAUCGAGCCCUGCUCACUCUCUCUUCCAACCCAGAGUCUUUGGCAAAUGGCCCAGAGGACACAGUCCUGCCUCUCAGUGCUUAUUUUAGUGGGAAAAACUGCACAACACUGGGGGUACAAACACUGGCCACCAAGGAACCAGAUCACCCAAGAGCCAGCCAGCGAAGUUUUCCUUUGUCCAGCUGAAGCCACCAUUAACUGGAGUCAGACAUAGUGCUUCCAGCAUCUUUGUCACCCCUGCACCUUGAGCAGGCUGGGAUCUCCUGGGAUCUGCCAGGGAUCUCCAGCUGGCAGGCUGUGAGCUGAACAGCUCCUGACUGUGGCCCAGAAUGGGGCUGAGACAGCUUCCAGAGAAUGAAGGUUUUGGACUCUCAGUGCUGUUCUCUGUGCCUUUUCUUCAUUUUGGGGACCUGAGAAGCCCUUUGACCAGGUCAGUGCUGGAAGAUCCACUCAGAAGCUCAGUUGGGUAUGGUUUUAUUGGCCAUGUGAAUAGUGAGCACAAAUCGAAAACCAGUACCUGAUCCUCUGCCACUGCAUGUCAGAGAGGAGAAAGAGAAGCUUGGCUCCAGGCUACAUAUAGCAAGGACCCUUGGGGCAGCUGGGGCGCCACCUCUGGAGUUUCUGGAGCUACGUCCAGAACAGCACAUGCCGUGUCCCAGUCCCAGUGCCCCUGCGCCAACCCUAAGACUCGGAUACCUCUGGCCCUUUAACACAAAGCCGCCUCUUCUCGCAGAACUUGUUCUCAUGGGGCUCCAAGCCCUUGCUUGGCCCCCACCUUCAUUAAUGUCUUUCAUUUCCGCUUCCAAGCUUCCUCCUGGCUCCAAAUGAGAAUGUGAUAACCUAGGAGGAGUGAGACCAGUCUGACUCUUACCUUCCAUUAUCAGCCUCCGAAAACUUGGGGCUGGCGUGGGGAACCUAGGACUUGGUAAGGAGAUACCAGGAAACUGAGCAGCAGCCAGGCACUGCUGUGACCAAGACAAAGCAAGAGGGAUGGAGGGCCUAGGCCGAAGAGCCCGCUGUCCCCUGGUCAUCAUCUUUACUGACUACGACCCUAGGGUGAAUGGAGCAGCACUAAGCUGAGGUUAGCCUGCCCUGAACCUUGGGGAGUAGGGUGGGCUUUACCAGCCUGAGAUUCACUCACCCAUCACAGAGGCCAGUGUGUCCCCCAUGGGAUUGAACUCAUUGAGCUGCAGAGACAAGGGGAUAAGCAUGAGGAGGGAAUGAAGGUACUGGGAGAAGGGCACAUGAGGAUUAAUUUCUGGUCGUUUUUGAUCCAAUAAGGUAGGGUGAAUCCCUGCUUCCUCCCAUUAUUAUUUGAGGGCCCAAGCCUCACCGACAUGAUACCAGAAGAUUCUGGGUCAUACAGCUGAUACAUCAUCUUUCCUGAGCUUCCAUCAAACACAUCGAUCGUCCUUAAUUCAUGGGAGGUACAACUUUUGAAAUUAGGAUCUGGGUAUCGGCCCACGACAAUGAGGUUGUACCGAGGAUGCCAGGUUGCCUAGGAGAUGGAGAGGCAGGUCACAAGAGUAAACACAGAACACUGUCAAGAGGGACAUCAAAAGUAUCUUUGCCACUAACAACAAUUGUUAAUACAAUUGCCCACAAUUUAAUAAUGGAGAUAAGACCCUACAUGAAACAACAAGAAUGGUUUUCAAGUGCGUGUGCAUCUACUGUUGCAAAUUUAAAAUCCCCAGCUGGCCUCCCUGACCCUUAGGACACCUUCAGGCCUUCUCUCUCCUUUGCAUUUCCUGAGAUCAUACCAACUGAUAAAUGUUUUAACAUCAGCCCGACCCAGACAUGAACCAAAGAGGUAAGCCUGCAACAAAGCGAAAUGCCUCUGGUAACCAAAACCAAAUAGGACUUAAUAAGUUCUGAAGUAAUCCCACUACUCUCCCUCCUCCAUCAACGUCAAUGAGUUGAGUAGAAAAUGGCUAGUGACUGAGAAAGGGGAGGACACCUGUGUUCCUCAGAUCACCCUGCUCAGAACAAAUGGGGCAGUUAUUGGGAUGACAGAACUUGAUGGGAUUUUCCCAAGAAAGCUGUUCAAGGAAGUUCUGAAGGAGAAACGACAUGGUUAGCAGGAAGGAAGAAGUGCUACCAGCAGUGGCUUGGAAAUAAGUCACAAACAAGUCACACCUGGGAUGCUGUUGGUUGGGCUGGCUGGAUACCAAGUGGGAGAUAAGGAAGGAAGGAUCAAUGGGGAACACCAACUGCUCAAGGACCCUGAUGUUACUGAGAGCUUGGAUUUGAUUUGAGGUACGUGGGGGCCACUCUACUACCAAGUAAUCACUGUUUACUGAGUACUUACUAGGCGCUAAGCACGUUGCCACGUGCUUUAAGUAUAAAGAUUUAUCCUCACAA